GGGGUUAUGAGGUGGGUAAUGGGAUUUUGGGGUCAGGGUGGGGGUUGUAGGGUUGUGGGCUGCGUAACGGGGUGAGGGUGGGGAUUAUGGAGUUAUGGGGUGGAUAAUGGGAUUAUGGGGUCUUUUCUCCCCUCUCCCCCUUUCCCUUUAGGGCACCUUCACCCCUGCCAGCGACGCGUGGGCUUUUGGGGUGACGCUGUGGGAGGUGCUGACCCGGUGCAGGGAGCAGCCCUACGGGGAGCUGAGCGAUGAGCAGGUGAUCGCCAACGCGGGCCGGCACUGCCGAGGCCACGGGGAGGUGAGAACUGGGACAAACUGGGAUCAACUGGGAGGGGUUGGGGUCGUAUUGGGGCCGUACUGGGAGAAUUGGGGUUGUAUUGGGGCCGUAUUGGGAGUAAUGGGGCCAUACUGGGGUCGUAUUGGGGCCAUACUGGGAGCACUGGGGCCAUACUGGGGCCAUACUGGGAGAACUGGGGCCAUACUGGGGCCAUACUGGGGCCAUACUGGGAGCACUGGGGCUGUACUGGGGCCAUACUGGGAGCACUGGGGCUGUAUUGGGGCUGUACUGGGAGCACUGGGGCUGUACUGGGGCCGUACUGGGAGCACUGGGGCUGUAUUGGGGCUGUAUUAGGAGCAGUGGGCCAUACUGGGGUCAUAUUAGGGCCAUACUGGGAGCACUGGGGCCAUACUGGGAGCACUGGGGGCAUAUUGGGGCCAUACUGGGAGCACUGGGGCCAUACUGGGAGGGACUGGGUUGGAAAAUGGGGGGGUACCAGGAGGGACUGGGAGCACUG
rnacentral:lncRNA from 1 species